UACGUAGGGUGCGAGUGUUGUCCGGAUUUAUUGGGCGUAAAGAGCUCGUAGGCGGUUUGUCGCGUCGGCCGUGAAAUCUCCACGCUUAACGUGGAGCGUGCGGUCGAUACGGGCAGACUUGAGUUCGGUAGGGGAGACUGGAAUUCCUGGUGUAGCGGUGAAAUGCGCAGAUAUCAGGAGGAACACCGGUGGCGAAGGCGGGUCUCUGGGCCGAUACUGACGCUGAGGAGCGAAAGCGUGGGGAGCGAACAGG
rnacentral:rRNA from 1 species